AUUAUGUCCAAUCUAAUUCUGCAUCAUGGUAUAUUUAUGUAGUCUCGCUUUUGGACCAAAGUAAACUCUUUUAUUAUCCUUGUGCUUGUGGCAUUCAACCCAGUCCAAUGCACACGAGAAACGUAAAAGAACAAAU
rnacentral:snoRNA from 1 species